rnacentral:rRNA from 1 species
AUUGAACGCUGGCGGCAGGCCUAACACAUGCAAGUCGAGCGAGCGGCGGACGGGUGAGUAAUGUAUGGGGAUCUGCCCGCUAGAGGGGGAUAACUACUGGAAACGGUAGCUAAUACCGCAUACCCUCGCAUGUGCCCCGAUGGGAUUAGCUUGUUGGUGGGGUAACGGCUCACCAAGGCGACGAUCCCUAGCUGGUCUGAGAGGAUGACCAGCCACACUGGAACUGAGACACGGGCCAGACUCCUACGGGAGGCAGCAGUGGGGAAUUUUGGACAAUGGGGGAAACCCUGAUCCAGCCAUCCCGCGUGUAUGAAGAAGGCCUUCGGGUUGUAAAGUACUUUUGGCAGAGAAGCGGUAUCUGCAGAAUAAGCACCGGCUAACUACGUGCCAGCAGCCGCGGUAAUUC